rnacentral:rRNA from 1 species
UACGUAGGGUGCUAGCGUUGUUCGGAAUCAUUGGGCGUAAAGCGCGUGUAGGCGGGUAGUUAAGUCGGGGGUGAAAUCCCUGGGCUCAACCGAGGAAGUGCAUCCGAAACUAACUAGCUAGAGAAUGGUAGAGGAAGGUGGAAUUCCGUGUGUAGAGGUGAAAUUCGUAGAUAUACGGAGGAAUACCGGUGGCGAAGGCGGCCUUCUGGACCAUUUCUGACGCUGAGACGCGAAAGCGUGGGGAGCAAACAGG